rnacentral:rRNA from 1 species
UACGAGGGGGCUAGCGUUGCUCGGAAUCACUGGGCGUAAAGGGUGCGUAGGCGGGUUUUUAAGUCAGAGGUGAAAUCCUGGAGCUCAACUCCAGAACUGCCUUUGAUACUGAAAGUCUUGAGUAUGGGAGAGGUGAGUGGAACUGCGAGUGUAGAGGUGAAAUUCGUAGAUAUUCGCAAGAACACCAGUGGCGAAGGCGGCUCACUGGCCCAUUACUGACGCUGAGGCACGAAAGCGUGGGGAGCAAACAGG